rnacentral:rRNA from 1 species
GAAGCGAAGCGGUGACGUGGAGCAAACCUCAGAAAGCCAAUCUCAGUUCGGAUUGUAGGCUGCAACUCGACUACAUGAAGCUGGAAUCGCUAGUAAUCGCGAAUCAGAAUGUCGCGGUGAAUACGUUCCCGGGUCUUGUACACACCGCCCGUCACACCAUGAGAGUCGGGAACACCCGAAGUCCGUAGCCUAACCGCAAGGGGGGCGCGGCCGAAGGUGGGUUCGAUAAUUGGGGUGAAGUCGUAACAAGGUACC